GAUGAAAGGAAUAAGUAGGAACAUGCAGGAUCUUCAGGAGAAACCAUCCUCAACAUACAAGAUUCUGAAGACUGUCCACCUUCAAGAUCACCAUCAUUUUCUAUUGUUUCAGAGUUAUCUACCAAUGACAGUAUUUCAGUCACUUCAUGUAUGUCACAUAGCCACAGUAUAUCACCUGUAGCAAAAAG